AGAGUUUGAUCCUGGCUCAGGACGAACGCUGGCGGCACGCUUAACACAUGCAAGUCGAACGAGAGAAGAGGAGCUUGCUUUUCUGAUCUAGUGGCGGACGGGUGAGUAACACGUGAGCAAUCUGCCUUUCAGAGGGGGAUACCGAUUGGAAACGAUCGUUAAUACCGCAUAACAUAAUUGAACCGCAUGAUUUGAUUAUCAAAGAUUUAUCGCUGAAAGAUGAGCUCGCGUCUGAUUAGCUAGUAGGUAAGGUAACGGCUUACCAAGGCGACGAUCAGUAGCCGGACUGAGAGGUUGAUCGGCCACAUUGGGACUGAGACACGGCCCAGACUCCUACGGGAGGCAGCAGUGGGGGAUAUUGCACAAUGGAGGAAACUCUGAUGCAGCGAUGCCGCGUGAGGGAAGAAGGUUUUAGGAUUGUAAACCUCUGUCUUCAGGGACGAAAAAAGACGGUACCUGAGGAGGAAGCUCCGGCUAACUACGUGCCAGCAGCCGCGGUAAUACGUAGGGAGCGAGCGUUGUCCGGAAUUACUGGGUGUAAAGGGAGCGUAGGCGGGAUCGCAAGUCAGAUGUGAAAACUAUGGGCUUACCCCAUAAACUGCAUUUGAAACUGUGGUUCUUGAGUGAAGUAGAGGUAAGCGGAAUUCCUAGUGUAGCGGUGAAAUGCGUAGAUAUUAGGAGGAACAUCAGUGGCGAAGGCGGCUUACUGGGCUUUAACUGACGCUGAGGCUCGAAAGCGUGGGGAGCAAACAGGAUUAGAUACCCUGGUAGUCCACGCCGUAAACGAUGAUUACUAGGUGUGGGGGGACUGACCCCUUCCGUGCCGCAGCAAACGCAAUAAGUAAUCCACCUGGGGAGUACGACCGCAAGGUUGAAACUCAAAGGAAUUGACGGGGGCCCGCACAAGCAGUGGAGUAUGUGGAUUAAUUCGAAGCAACGCGAAGAACCUUACCAGGUCUUGACAUCGUAUGCAUAGCUCAGAGAUGAGUGAAAUCUCUUCGGAGACAUAUAGACAGGUGGUGCAUGGUUGUCGUCAGCUCGUGUCGUGAGAUGUUGGGUUAAGUCCCGCAACGAGCGCAACCCUUACUGUUAGUUGCUACGCAAGAGCACUCUAGCAGGACUGCCGUUGACAAAACGGAGGAAGGUGGGGAUGACGUCAAAUCAUCAUGCCCCUUAUGACCUGGGCCUCACACGUACUACAAUGGCUGUCAACAGAGGGAAGCAAAGCCGCGGGGUGGAGCGAACCCCUAAAAGCAGUCUUAGUUCGGAUUGUAGGCUGCAACCCGCCUACAUGAAGUCGGAAUUGCUAGUAAUCGCAGAUCAGCAUGCUGCGGUGAAUACGUUCCCGGGCCUUGUACACACCGCCCGUCACGCCAUGGGAGUCGGUAACACCCGAAGCCUGUAGUCUAACCGCAAGGAGGACGCAGUCGAAGGUGGGAUUGAUGACUGGGGUGAAGUCGUAACAAGGUA
rnacentral:rRNA from 1 species